rnacentral:rRNA from 1 species
CUAACCUGGUUGAUCCUGCCAGUAGCAUACGCUUGUCUCAAAGAUUAAGCCAUGCAUGUCUAAGUAUAAACGACUUUAUACUGUGAAACUGCGAAUGGCUCAUUAUAUCAGUUAUAGUUUAUUUGAUGGUCCUUGCUACUUGGAUAACCGUAGUAAUUCUAGAGCUAAUACAUGCAUGAAUCCCCGAUUCGGAA